AUAGCGUAUAUUAAAGUUGUUGCAGUUAAAAAGUCUCGUAGUUGGAUUUCUGGGAGGGUGCCGAUGUCCACUUAACGUGUGCGCAGCGGCGCCCUCUCAUCCUUCUGUUAGCGUCUCUUGGCAUUCAUUUGCUGGUGGCGGGCUCAGAUAUUUUACCUUGAGAAAAUUAGAGUGUUUCAGGCAGGCUAGGCCGGAAUACAUUAGCAUGGAAUAAUGGAAUAGGACUACGGUCUCUUUGUUGGUUUGAGGGACUGCAGUAAUGAUUAAUAGGGAUAGUUGGGGGCAUUAGUACUUAACUGUCAGAGGUGGAAUUCUCAGAUUUGUUAAAGACUGACUUAUGCGAAAGCAUUUGCCAAGGAUGUUUUCAUUAAUCAAGAACGAAAGUUAGGGGAUCAAAGACGAUCAGAUACCGUCCUAGUCUUAACCAUAAACUAUGCCGACUCGGGAUUGGGGGCGUGUUCUAUCCGCCUUCAGCACCGUAUGAGAAAUCAAAGUCUUUG
rnacentral:rRNA from 1 species